GCCCCGCUGGUGAAAUUGGCAGACACACUAGACUUAGGAUCUAGCGCCGAGAGGCAUGGGGGUUCAAGUCCCUCGCGGGGCACCA
rnacentral:tRNA from 2 species